GGUCGAUUAGCUCAGUUGGUUAGAGCGUGGUGCUAAUAGCUACCGCUAGAAUACGCCAAGGCCAUGGGUUCGAGCCCCAUAUUGACCU
rnacentral:tRNA from 1 species